GACGAACGCUGGCGGCGUGCUUAACACAUGCAAGUCGAACGGAAAGGCCCUUCGGGGUACUCGAGUGGCGAACGGGUGAGUAACACGUGGGUGAUCUGCCCUGCACUUUGGGAUAAGCCUGGGAAACUGGGUCUAAUACCGGAUAGGACUACGGCCUGCAUGGGUUGUGGUGGAAAGCUUUUGCGGUGUGGGAUGGGCCCGCGGCCUAUCAGCUUGUUGGUGGGUGAUGGCCUACCAAGGCGACGACGGGUAGCCGGCCUGAGAGGGUGACCGGCCACACUGGGACUGAGAUACGGCCCAGACUCCUACGGGAGGCAGCAGUGGGGAAUAUUGCACAAUGGGCGCAAGCCUGAUGCAGCGACGCCGCGUGGGGGAUGACGGCCUUCGGUUGUAACCUCUUUCAGUAGGGACGAAGCGUAAGUGACGGUACCUAUAGAAGAAGCACCGGCCAACUACGUG
rnacentral:rRNA from 1 species